rnacentral:rRNA from 1 species
AACGAACGCUGGCGGCAUGCCUAACACAUGCAAGUCGAACGAGACCUUCGGGUCUAGUUGCGCACGGGUGCGUAACGCGUGGUAACCUGCCCUUAGGUUCGGAAUAACUCCCCGAAAGGGGUGCUAAUACCGGAUAAUGUCAUCGGACCAAAGAUUUAUCGCCUUUGGAUGGGCCCGCGUUGGAUUAGCUAGUUGGUAGGGUAAAAGCCUACCAAGGAGACGAUCCAUAGCUGGUCUGAGAGGAUGAUCAGCCACAAUGGGACUGAGACACGGCCCAGACUCCUACGGGAGGCAGGAGUGGGGAAUAUUAGACACUGGGCGAAAGUCUGAUCCCGCCAUGCCGCGUGAGUGAUGAAGGCGUUAGGGUUGUAAAGCUCUUUUACCCGGGAUGAUAAUGACAGUACCGGGAGAAUAAGCUCCGGCUAACUCCGUG